GGGAAGUGCACAAGAAGCGGAAGGGAGGGGUGCGUGCAGGCUGCCCCCACUCACAGCGUGCAUGUACCCACAUCCUGCUCUAUGCUGCUUUUCUUGUCCAGUCUUCUCCCCAGACACGCUCUGCUCUUGCCAGACUUGGCUUAGAGAGAAACUACAGGACUGCAUGAGAGCAAACUUCAAUUCCGCUUGCUUGGAGCCAUGGCCUAAAGUUCUGUGGAGGAAAUCCAGGACAAAAAGAGCUGGAUGGCAGCUGGAUGACAGAAAUGUUCUGCAAAUGAAGAAUUCUGUGAUUUGACCAGUUCUGUUUGAGCUGCAUCGUGGGGGCAGAAACAUCCUUAGAGAUGGAUGCUCUAACCACUAUAUAGAGCAGGACCAUAAAUAUCCUUUUCCAGCACUGGAGCUGCAGUUACAGUAUAGUGAAAUCUAUCAUCUCAUAUAAGCUGCAGUCUGUCUGCAUCAGAAAAUGACCCAGAACUUUCUACCCACAGUGACUGGAUUCAGUUAUGGUUUUAAUUUAAGAGAUUUGAUGCAUAUA